rnacentral:rRNA from 1 species
GUUAGCGGCGGACGGGUGAGUAACACGUGGGUAACCUGCCUGUAAGACUGGGAUAACUCCGGGAAACCGGGGCUAAUACCGGAUGGUUGUCUGAACCGCAUGGUUCAGACAUAAAAGGUGGCUUCGGCUACCACUUACAGAUGGACCCGCGGCGCAUUAGCUAGUUGGUGAGGUAACGGCUCACCAAGGCGACGAUGCGUAGCCGACCUGAGAGGGUGAUCGGCCACACUGGGACUGAGACACGGCCCAGACUCCUACGGGAGGCAGCAGUAGGGAAUCUUCCGCAAUGGACGAAAGUCUGACGGAGCAACGCCGCGUGAGUGAUGAAGGUUUUCGGAUCGUAAAGCUCUGUUGUUAGGGAAGAACAAGUGCCGUUCAAAUAGGGCGGCACCUUGACGGUACCUAACCAGAAAGCCACGGCUAACUACGUGCCAGCA